rnacentral:rRNA from 1 species
GACGAACGCUGGCGGCGUGCUUAACACAUGCAAGUCGAACGGAAAGGCCCUGCUUUUGUGGGGUGCUCGAGUGGCGAACGGGUGAGUAACACGUGAGUAACCUGCCCUUGACUUUGGGAUAACUUCAGGAAACUGGGGCUCAUAUCGGAUAGGAACUCCUGCUGCAUGGUGGGGGUUGGAAAGUUUCGGCGGUUGGGGAUGGACGCGCGGCUUAUCAGCUUGUUGGUGGGGUAGUGGCUUACCAAGGCUUUGACGGGUAGCCGGCCUGAGAGGGUGACCGGCCACAUUGGGACUGAGGUGCGGCCAAGACUGCUACGGGAGGCAGCGGUGGGGAAUAUUGCACGAUGGGCGGAAGCAGGAUGCAGCAACGCCGCGUGCGGGAUGACGGCCUUCGGGUUGGAACCCGCGUGCGCCUGUGACGAAGCGUGAGUGACGGUAAUGGGUAAAGAAGCACCGGCUAACUACGUG